UACAAAGCAAUGGAGGUGCUGGUCCACAUCUGCCGGGAAUCAAACAUAUAUGAAAACAAUCAAACAUAUAUUGGGCUGACCGAAAUUCCAUUGUUCCUAAGGAAUGGAAAUUGGUAUUGAUGCAAUAUAUAAAGCAUGUGCUUGCUGAACGUCUUUUCUAUUCGUCAUCACAUUUCUUUUCUGCUUUCCUAAUUUUCUCGAAUGCUUCUUUGCAAAUACACCAUGGAUUAGGAUUACCUGUGGGUUUCAAUCUUUUUUUGUAGGUUACGCCUAAUCUUUAUGGCAAUUUGGUGGCUAACAUGGCUGCAGGUAUUGUUGGAGGGAUGGGCAUCAUGCCUGGAGACUUUGUGGCAUAUGGAACUUCUUGGAGCUUUUUGCUAUGGUCUUCAUCAAGUUUUCUACCAAUGACUUAUCUCCCGCUACCCCGACCCGCUCAUCAAGGCCAACGACACCAUCAAGAUCGAUCUGGAGACCAACAAGAUCAUGGACUUCAUCAAGUUUGACGUCGGCAACGUGGUCAUGGUGACUGGCGGGAGGAACACCGGGCGUGUAGGAGUCAUCAAGAACAGGGAGAAGCA